GAACGCUGGCGGCGUGCCUAAUACAUGCAAGUCGAGCGAACGGACGAGAAGCUUGCUUUUCUGAUGUUAGCGGCGGACGGGUGAGUAACACGUGGAUAACCUACCUAUAAGACUGGGAUAACUUCGGGAAACCGGAGCUAAUACCGGAUAAUAUUUUGAACCGCAUGGUUCAAAAGUGAAAGACGGUCUUGCUGUCACUUAUAGAUGGAUCCGCGCUGCAUUAGCUAGUUGGUAAGGUAACGGCUUACCAAGGCAACGAUGCAUAGCCGACCUGAGAGGGGGAACCGGCAACCUGGAACUGGAACAACGUCCAGGACCCUAAGGGAGGGCGGAGGUGGGAAACUUCCGCAAUGGGCGAAAGCCUGACGGAGCAACGCCGCGUGAGUGAUGAAGGUCUUCGGAUCGUAAAACUCUGUUAUUAGGGAAGAACAUAUGUGUAAGUAACUGUGCACAUCUUGACGGUACCUAAUCAGAAAGCCACGGCUAACUACGUG
rnacentral:rRNA from 1 species